CAGGUCCGUAGCUCCAAUUGGUAGAGCGUCGGUCUCCAAAACCGAGGGUUGAAGGUUCGAAUCCUUCCGGGCCUGCCAU
rnacentral:tRNA from 1 species